AACGAACGCUGGCGGCAUGCCUAACACAUGCAAGUCGAACGAGACCUUCGGGUCUAGUGGCGCACGGGUGCGUAACGCGUGGGAACCUGCCCUUAGGUUCGGAAUAACUCCCCGAAAGGGGUGCUAAUACCGGAUAAUGUCUUCGGACCAAAGAUUUAUCGCCUUUGGAUGGGCCCGCGUUGGAUUAGCUAGUUGGUAGGGUAAAAGCCUACCAAGGCGACGAUCCAUAGCUGGUCUGAGAGGAUGAUCAGCCACACUGGGACUGAGACACGGCCCAGACUAGUACGGGAGGCAGCAGUGGGGAAUAUUGGACAAUGGGGGAAAGCCUGAUCAAGCAAUGCCGCGUGAGUGAUGAAGGCCUUAGGGUUGUAAAGCUCUUUUAACCGGGAUGAUAAUGACAGUACCGGGAGAAUAAGCUCCGGCUAACUCCGUG
rnacentral:rRNA from 1 species